GUGAGCUGGAAAACACACAUACCAGUUACGAAGCUCAUAGCUGCCAUUAGAGGAUAUACCUAUUUCAUAUACAUGCAAAUUAAUUAAUUAAUUUAUAAGCAAGUACAGUACGUUCACUAUAUAAUAUAAUAUAAUAUACGUUAAUUAGACCCUUUAGCUAGUGACUAACAUUCUUACGCUAAUCUAAAAUAUAUAUUAUCAAAAUUUUAACGUACGUACAGUAUUUAUAUUCUAUGUACAUAAACCAAACCAUGCAAGUAGUUCUGCACAUAUAUAAAAUUACUCCAUAUAUAUAUAUACCUCUGUCCUUUAAUUUAAAUGUAUGUAUACUCUAUUAUCUUUUUAGUAUUACUUAAUUACUAGCUAGCUAGCUAGCAUGAUUUAAGAAAAUGAAAUAUUACAAAUUUACCCCAUUUCCUUAAUGCUUCUAAUCAAACUCAUUGAAACAUACGUACUACGUACAGUAGACGACAACAAAUUAAUAUUGUAUGUAGAAAUUAUUUAUUUUUAUAUAUGUAGAUAAAAAUGUACUAAACAAAACACACUGCUAAUUAAUUUGACAUACCUACCUACCUCUGGUUUGAUCCAACGCCCCAUUCAAUUCCACAAUUUAAAAAGCGAUUCUUGUCCCUUGCUUGGCUAAAAGAAGCUAUAUAUGUAUUUGUGGUAUAUUAAUUAAUUUCAUAGCAGACAGACAUAUUUAUA
rnacentral:lncRNA from 1 species